ensembl:lncRNA
GCCAUUGUGUAUUUUACGAUAAACUGUUUACAUAGCAGCCUUUUGUUACAGGUUUUAAAUCUUCUCAGGCUGCCAGUUUGAGGCUGAGGCUGCCAGCUGGCAGACAGAGAGGUGCUUGUGCUCCAACUGUUGGAGGUAAUUAACAGCCCGAACUGUCAGAAGGUGACAGCCGGCAGAAAGUUCCUGCCCUGGGGUCACAGCUGGAUUCCGGCAACUUGCUCCUUGAUUUACCAGUAAAACUAAUAAUUCCACGACAGAAAAUGUACAUACAUGGACAGUCAAAUGUUGAGAUGCAAACAAUAUUAGCAUUUGUAUGCCUUUGUCUUUUGAAAUCAGGAGGGGUGUAUUCCUGCCUGCAGACUUUGGGAAAUCACCACAGGGAGUCAGACUACUGAAGCACAGUCAAGCAAUAAAUCUACCAGUGGAAAUACUAAGUCACGGCUUGAAUCAGCUAUUGAGCACCUGGUGGGAAGGCAAGGCCAACCCAAGGGAGCUCAGGUGCAUGCAGUGUACCUGGGUGACCAGAAGGGGUAGGGUCAGGAUCCACCCCUUCCCAGACCUCAUUUAAGGCCUGGCAGUAAAGGUUUCUGCACACCUGAGGACCUCUGAAGGCUUCUUCUUCUACAAAAUAUAUUGUGAAUACAAUAGUGAGAUGGAUUGUCCACUGCAAAAGUCUCUUCAAGAACUUCAUGUCCAGUUCUUUUUCAUUAACUACACUUUGUCACAAAGCUUGGUAUUGAAUCACAGAAUCACACAAUCACAGGAUUGCAGGCACCAGAAGAGACCUCAAGAGAUCACCGAGUCCACCUCCCCUGCUAAAGCAGGUUCCCUACAUGUCACACAGGUUGGCGUCCAAAUGGAUCUUGAAUAUCUCCAUAGAAGGAGACUCCAUGACCUCCCUGGGCAAACUUUUCCAGUGUUCCAUCACCCUCAACAAAAAUAAAUUAUCCCGUGUGUUAGUAGAAUUUCCUAUGUACAAGUUUCAGGCCAUUACUCCUUGUGCUAUCUCUAUGCACCAUUGAGAAGAGCCUGGCCUCAUCCAUUUGCCUCCCACCUCCCUUUAGAUAUUCAUAAAUGUUUAUCAGAUCCCCCCUCAGUCUUCUCUUUCCCAGGCUGAACAGGCCCAGGUCACUCAGCCUUUCCUCAUGUGGGAGAUGCUCCAGGACCUUUAUCAUAUUUUUGUCCUUCCACUGGACUCCUUCUAGGAGUUCCCUGUCUUUUUUGAACUGAGGAGCACAGAACUGGACAUUGAAGCAUAAAAUGAAGAAUGGAAAAUCAGUUAAAAGUAUAAAUUUACAGAUUUGUUAUCAGUGUGUAUUUAAUUUGUUAGUAAAAACAACUCUCUUUAUCCC